rnacentral:rRNA from 1 species
GACGAACGCUGGCGGCGUGCUUAACACAUGCAAGUCGAACGGGCCCGCUCUCUUUUUUGGGGGUGGGUUGAGUGGCGAACGGGUGAGUAUCACGUGAGUAACCUGCCCCCUGCUCCUGGAUAACUGCUUGAAAGGGCGGCUAAUACGGGGUGUGCCGGCUGGUCCGCAUGGGCCUGGUCGGGAUAGUUUCAUCUUCGGGUGUUUCGGUGGGGGAUGGGCUCGCGGCCUAUCAGCUUGUUGGUGGGGUGAUGGCCCACCAGGGCGGUGACGGGUAGCCGGCCUGAGAGGGUGGGCGGCCACACUGGGACUGAGACACGGCCCAGACUCCUGCGGGAGGCAGCAGUGGGGGGUAUUGCACAAUGGGCGGAAGCCUGAUGCAGCGACGUCGCGUGAGGGAUGGAGGCCUUCGGGUUGUGAACCUCUUUCUCCGGUGGUGAAGGCCCUGUCCGUUGCGGCGGGGUUGACGGUAGCCGGGUAUGAAGCGCCGGCUAACUACGUG